UACAGAGGGUGCAAGCGUUGUUCGGAAUUAUUGGGCGUAAAGGGCGCGUAGGCGGUGCCACAAGUCACCUGUGAAAUCUCCGGGCUUAACUCGGAGCCUGCAGGCGAAACUGUGGUGCUGGAGUGUGGGAGAGGUGCGUGGAAUCCCCGGUGUAGCGGUGAAAUGCGUAGAUAUUGGGAGGAACACCAGUGGCGAAGGCGGCUCACUGGACCGGUACUGACGCUGAUGCGCGAAAGCGUGGGGAGCAAACGGG
rnacentral:rRNA from 1 species